rnacentral:lncRNA from 1 species
GAAUCUAUCUCCCUUAGUAAAUAGAGGUUUUAGUUCUAUAUGAUUUAUGAGACUGAAUUUAGAACACCUUGGUUAGGGUAGAGUUAAUAGCGGAAAGGGUUUAGAAACUCGAAUCAAAUAAAUUUGACAUAUGACAGAUAAUGGGGUUUAAUAAGCUAUUUCAUUACCUUCGUCUAGUCGAGACUCAUGAUAGAAGGACUGUAUCGUAUGAUUACUGCACUAAGAGAUUUAGUAUUCUAUUCUAAUGGAAUGUCACUAUAUGCUGCUAGGCGUUACUAGUGGAUUAUGAGACUCGUGAGAGUUAUCUAGAUGAUCGAUAAUUCUCAUUGGGCUGAGUUAGAAUUGUUCCAACCCAUUGAAAAUAGUCUUCAGUGAUAUUGUUAAUAGUGAUUAGAAUAUAUCUCACUACUAGAUAGAAUUAAGAGAUUGUGACUGAUUAGAUAGCUCGAUCGUGAUUUUUGAAUCGUUGGAGGACCUAAUUGUCAAUAUAUUGAUAAUUGGACUAAUUUGUAAUUAUUAUGAAUUAGUGGUAUUAAAGUAUAAAUGUUGUAAGAGAGAACUUAUGUACAAAUAUUAUAUUAUUAAUUUGAUAUAAUCAAAUUAAGAUUGAGUUUAUGUAACGACCCAGCCCACUAGCAACAAUAACUCGUUGGACCCAACCACCGGCCCAAAAUGCUUAAGCCCAGUUAUUAUUACUAGUGUCUAAGN